AGUGAACGCUGGCGGUAGGCCUAACACAUGCAAGUCGAACGGCAGCACAGUAAGAGCUUGCUCUUACGGGUGGCGAGUGGCGGACGGGUGAGGAAUACAUCGGAAUCUACUUUUUCGUGGGGGAUAACGUAGGGAAACUUACGCUAAUACCGCAUACGACCUACGGGUGAAAGCAGGGGAUCUUCGGACCUUGCGCGAUUGAAUGAGCCGAUGUCGGAUUAGCUAGUUGGCGGGGUAAAGGCCCACCAAGGCGACGAUCCGUAGCCGGUCUGAGAGGAUGAUCAGCCACACUGGAACUGAGACACGGUCCAGACUCCUACGGGAGGCAGCAGUGGGGAAUAUUGGACAAUGGGCGCAAGCCUGAUCCAGCCAUACCGCGUGGGUGAAGAAGGCCUUCGGGUUGUAAAGCCCUUUUGUUGGGAAAGAAAAGCAGCAGGUUAAUACCCCGCUGUUCUGACGGUACCCAAAGAAUAAGCACCGGCUAACUUCAUG
rnacentral:rRNA from 1 species